ensembl:lncRNA
AGGAAAUCUCAGGUCCCAUGAAUGCAGCAUCCAAAUGAAGGAAAGGCUCGUGCUUUUGUGCCUUGCUGUCUGCCCUCAGAGUACCAACCACCCCUCUCAAGGAUAAGCUAUUUCUUGCAAAUUUAGCAUCCUUUAUUGCUAGUAUCUGCUUUCAAGCCGGGGGUGAUAUUUCUGAAUCAUCUGGCAUUAUUUACAACAGCUAAUGAUAGACAGAGUUUGAAGUAGAACUAUAGAGCCCCAAUCCAUCCUUUUCCUUGCUCCCAGAUGUCUCUGACCCAGGAGAUAGCAGCUUAAGCCCAUAAUGGCAAAAAAAAUACAACUUUUCCUCAGAACCAGCUCUGGAAGUCAGAAGUCCAACAUCAAAGUGCCAGCAGGAUUCAGAUUCGCUUCUUCUGUGACCUCCAUCCUUGGCUUAGUGUGUUCCAUGGGCUCAGAAGCAGUGAAUCCUCCCUCUUCUCAGAAGCAGAGCGCUUCUAUCAAACAGAGCUGAAAAUGUGAAGAACAAAAGGUCUGAAAUGUCACACGAUAAGAAAAAUUAUUUUUAAACUCUCAGUAACAGGAAAUGGAAGGAACUGUAUUCAUAGAGAAAGAAAAUGUAGAGGACAGCUCCAUGAAACUUCAUUUCAUUGACUACUUCUAGUUCAAAAUCAUCUAUACUACAAAGGAACUCCUGGAGUUAAGGGCAUCUGUGAUCAAUGUGACCACCAAACUUGUGAAAAUUUCCUGAGGUGAUUCCUCUCACCAUGAAAAUAGCCUGAAUAGAGAUUACAACACAAUGAAUUCUGUUUGAAAACUAUCCUUCCAGGCAUGGUCUUGGACACAGCUCUCUGGUUAUUCUGAGUGACCCAGACUGGUGUGCCAGGGAGUUACCAACCCAAGGACUGUGGAAAUGAAGUCUCUUGAGAACUGAUGAGCCAGAUUAGAACCAGUUCCUGAAGGUCAGCCUGCAUUAUCCACUCAGAAGUGAGAUGAGGAAGAACUGGCCUGGGGUGGGGUUCACUCAGAAGACUGUUUCCGAUAUGUGCAUUAAGAAUACAUGAUCUGCUGAUGAAAGCUCCCAAAUCCUUCUCCAUUUGCACCACUGAAAAACAAGAGCUAAAUAAAUACUCAC